rnacentral:rRNA from 1 species
GAGUUUGAUCCUGGCUCAGAACGAACGCCGGCGGCAGGCCUAAUACAUGCAAGUCGAGCGCGCCCUUCGGGGUGAGCGGCGGACGGGUGAGUAACGCGUGGGAAUAUGCCCUUCUCUAAGGAAUAGCCUCUGGAAACGGAGAGUAAUACCUUAUACGCCCUUCGGGGGAAAGAUUUAUCGGAGAAGGAUUAGCCCGCGUUAGAUUAGGUAGUUGGUGGGGUAAUGGCCUACCAAGCCUACGAUCUAUAGCUGGUUUGAGAGGAUGAUCAGCCACACUGGGACUGAGACACGGCCCAGACUCCUACGGGAGGCAGCAGUAGGGAAUCUUAGACAAUGGGGGCAACCCUGAUCUAGUCAUGCCGCGUGUGUGAUGAAGGCCCUGGGGUCGUAAAGCACUUUCGCCAGAGAUGAUAAUGACAGUAUCUGGUAAAGAAACCCCGGCUAACUCCGUGCCAGCAGCCGCGGUAAUACGGAGGGGGUUAGCGUUGUUCGGAAUUACUGGGCGUAAAGCGCACGUAGGCGGAUUAGUAAGUUAGAGGUGAAAUCCCAGGGCUCAACCCUGGAACUGCCUUUAAUACUGCUAGUCUUGAGUUCGAGAGAGGUAAGUGGAAUUCCGAGUGUAGAGGUGAAAUUCGUAGAUAUUCGGAGGAACACCAGUGGCGAAGGCGGCUUACUGGCUCGAUACUGACGCUGAGGUGCGAAAGUGUGGGGAGCAAACAGGAUUAGAUACCCUGGUAGUCCACACCGUAAACGAUGAAUGCCAGACGUCAGCAAGUAUACUUGUUGGUGUCACACCUAACGGAUUAAGCAUUCCGCCUGGGGAGUACGGUCGCAAGAUUAAAACUCAAAGGAAUUGACGG